AGAGUUUGAUCCUGGCUCAGGACGAACGCUGGCGCGUGCCUAAUACAUGCAAGUCGAGCGAGCGGAACCAACAGAUUUACUUCGGUAAUGACGUUGGGAAAGCGAGCGGCGGAUGGGUGAGUAACACGUGGGGAACCUGCCCCUAAGUCUGGGAUACCAUUUGGAAACAGGUGCUAAUACCGGAUAAUAAAGCAGAUCGCAUGAUCAGCUUUUGAAAGGCGGCGUAAGCUGUCGCUAAGGGAUGGCCCCGCGGUGCAUUAGCUAGUUGGUAAGGUAACGGCUUACCAAGGCGACGAUGCAUAGCCGAGUUGAGAGACUGAUCGGCCACAUUGGGACUGAGACACGGCCCAAACUCCUACGGGAGGCAGCAGUAGGGAAUCUUCCACAAUGGACGCAAGUCUGAUGGAGCAACGCCGCGUGAGUGAAGAAGGUUUUCGGAUCGUAAAGCUCUGUUGUUGGUGAAGAAGGAUAGAGGUAGUAACUGGCCUUUAUUUGACGGUAAUCAACCAGAAAGUCACGGCUAACUACGUGCCAGCAGCCGCGGUAAUACGUAGGUGGCAAGCGUUGUCCGGAUUUAUUGGGCGUAAAGCGAGCGCAGGCGGAAAAAUAAGUCUAAUGUGAAAGCCCUCGGCUUAACCGAGGAACUGCAUCGGAAACUGUUUUUCUUGAGUGCAGAAGAGGAGAGUGGAACUCCAUGUGUAGCGGUGGAAUGCGUAGAUAUGUGGAAGAACACCAGUGGCGAAGGCGGCUCUCUGGUCUGCAACUGACGCUGAGGCUCGAAAGCAUGGGUAGCGAACAGGAUUAGAUACCCUGGUAGUCCAUGCCGUAAACGAUGAGUGCUAAGUGUUGGGAGGUUUCCGCCUCUCAGUGCUGCAGCUAACGCAUUAAGCACUCCGCCUGGGGAGUACGACCGCAAGGUUGAAACUCAAAGGAAUUGACGG
rnacentral:rRNA from 1 species